AAAAAAGGUAAGCUACUAAGAGCGAAUGGUGGAUGCCUUGACUGGUAAAGGCGAUGAAGGACGUACUAGACUGCGAUAAGCUACGGGGAGCUGUCAAGAAGCUUUGAUCCGUAGAUUUCCGAAUGGGGCAACCCAAUGUAUAGAGAUAUACAUUACCUAUAUAGGAGCGAACGAGGGGAAUUGAAACAUCUUAGUACCCUCAGGAAAAGAAAUCAAUAGAGAUUGUGUCAGUAGCGGCGAGCGAAAGCGCAAGAGGGCAAACCCAGUGCUUGCACUGGGGGUUGUAGGACUGCAAUGUGCAAGAGCUGAGUUUAGCAGAACAUUCUGGAAAGUAUAGCCAUAGAGGGUGAUAGUCCCGUAUGCGAAAAACAAAGCUUAGCUAGCAGUAUCCUGAGUAGGGCGGGACACGAGGAAUCCUGUCUGAAUCCGGGUCGACCACGAUCCAACCCUAAAUACUAAUACCAGAUCGAUAGUGCACAAGUACCGUGAGGGAAAGGUGAAAAGAACUGAGGUGAUCAGAGUGAAAUAGAACCUGAAACCAUUUGCUUACAAUCAUUCAGAGCACUAUGUAGCAAUACAGUGUGAUGGACUGCCUUUUGCAUAAUGAGCCUGCGAGUUGUGGUGUCUGGCAAGGUUAAGCAAACGCGAAGCCGUAGCGAAAGCGAGUCUGAAUAGGGCGCUUAGUCAGAUGCUGCAGACCCGAAACGAAGUGAUCUAUCCAUGAGCAAGUUGAAGCUAGUGUAAGAACUAGUGGAGGACUGAACCCAUAGGCGUUGAAAAGCCCCGGGAUGACUUGUGGAUAGGGGUGAAAGGCCAAUCAAACUUCGUGAUAGCUGGUUCUCUCCGAAAUAUAUUUAGGUAUAGCGUUGUGUCGUAAUAUAAGGGGGUAGAGCACUGAAUGGGCUAGGGCAUACACCAAUGUACCAAACCCUAUCAAACUCCGAAUACCUUAUAUGUAAUCACAGCAGUCAGGCGGCGAGUGAUAAAAUCCGUCGUCAAGAGGGAAACAACCCAGACUACCAGCUAAGGUCCCUAAAUCUUACUUAAGUGGAAAACGAUGUGAAGUUACUUAAACAACCAGGAGGUUGGCUUAGAAGCAGCCAUCCUUUAAAGAAAGCGUAAUAGCUCACUGGUCUAGUGAUUUUGCGCGGAAAAUAUAACGGGGCUAAAGUAAGUACCGAAGCUGUAGACUUGCGCACAACUUAGAUUAUUUAAGUUUAGAAUAUGAGAAACUAAGUUAUAUUUUUACUGAUUUUUAUAGAGUAAAGAUAGAAAUAAAACUUAGUAAAAUCAGUAAAAAUAUUCUUAGGCUAAAGUUAAGUAGUUUAAGUUGUGUGCAAGUGGUAGGAGAGCGUUCUAUUUGCGUCGAAGGUAUACCGGUAAGGAGUGCUGGAGCGAAUAGAAGUGAGCAUGCAGGCAUGAGUAGCGAUAAUUAAUGUGA
rnacentral:rRNA from 1 species